CUGCAACGAAGUAGAACUUGAACGUUUACGCUUUUCUCCUUCUCGUGGCGAUUCGAUAUUUUUAAGCACUAAACGGAGGGAAAAUUCGACAUUUUUAAGCACUAACUUGGCCAGACUCCAAACCUUGGAUUUUCUAGGGUUCAUAUAGUCACUUUUAGGGUUCGACCUUUUCAGGUCAGAUUCGAAGCAAAACCUUGUUGGUUUAGGUACGCGAGAUGUUAGGGGCGUGCUUGGUAUUGAUUUUGGGUGAUUUGGUGUGAGUUGAAUCUGUGCUCGAAUCUUCAAAUGAAGAUUCAAGAAGGUCCUGUUUGAUUCGAGGUUAGGGGUUAAUGGAUUUGGCUUUAGGGUGUGCUGGGGGUUCUGUGGUGUUAUCGGGGUGACCGGCGGCGUCGUUGCCGCCGGGUUUUUGGUGCAAAUUGCCUAGAGGCGGCUAGGGUUUUGAGGUUCUAGUCUCUGAGGGUUUGAGAUGGGGAAGAAGAAUGAGG
rnacentral:lncRNA from 1 species